CAAUAUAUAACAUACAACACAAUAUACUAAUGACAAUAUUCUUUUAUCAAUAUAUACUACUUAUAUACAAUUUAUACUAAUUACUAACUACAGCACAAUAUACACAAUUUAUAUACAAUAUAUACUACUUAAAUACAAUAUAUACUAUACAAAAUAUACAGUACUUAUACACAAUAUAUACUAAUUAUCAAACACAAUAUAUAUUAUACUAAUAACAUAGUACACCAUAUAAAAUAUAUUCUACAAUAUACUAAUGACUACUAUACAAGAUAUUAAUUUAAAAAAAAAAAAUCAGAACCGCCGGGAACCGCCAGAACCGGAGACCCAAAUAGACCCAGAACCGGAACCGGAUACAGCCUUAAUCAAGAAAGUCAAAAGCACCAACUUAGUAAAUAACAAGCUAGAAGGAAAAGACAAAACAAAGUAUGAAGGCUAACACAUAAUGAGCUUUAGAAUAGAACUGGUGCAUUGAUAUUUAGUAAUACAACUUACAGCAGCAACAGGUGGAUUAUAUAAUAAAACCACUAUCAAUCAUAUUUCAAAGUUGAUUCAUUCCAAUAAUCGCAGAAAAACUAACAUGAACACAAUGUAGCUUAAUGUGUAUCUAGUUGUAAUCCACAGAAACAGAAGCGUCAUCAGCCAAGUAAAGGGAGAAUGUGAAGAUGAGAGGAGUUCAGCAAUGCAAAAUCAGUAACACAGCUUCAUUUAAGCCCCAGAAUCAAACGAAAAUCUAGAAAUCAUGAAGUAGACAAACACGCACUAAAAUCAACUUUCGGGUCUUCAGAGAAUUCCUUUUCUUUGCUAAACUAAGUGUAUCAAACUAAGAAAUCAAAAGUUUUUGAAAGAAACCUUCAGAGAAAACCAGUGUGUGUUCCAGAGUGACCUUUUCGUCAAUAUUCGUUCUAAUCAUGCUUCAAAUUACUUCAAUAUCUUCAAACUAACAAAUUGUAACCACGAAUGAAAUCAGAGGAUCCUCUUAAGGUGAAACAAGACAAGAUGCUAGCCAAAAAGCAACCAAACAGCGAGACUAGACGACCUCACCUUGAUAGUACCAUAAGAACCAGACACACAAACACUUCAAAUAUCAAACGCUCAUCGAACUAGUCAUGAACCAACUAAUUACUGAACACAUCCUUAACAGGGAGUAAUCGAGCAUGGAGCCGGAAACAUGAGCAUUCACUUAAUCCCCUCAAACAUGGUGAACCAUAAAGAACAAAUAUUAUUAAUAGGGAACUUCAACAGAUUCAGCCCAACAAUACAUGUUUCUGUUUGACUUCUUUUCGUUUCUUUUUAAAAACAAAUGCAGACUAGAGAUGGCACACACACAUAAAUGAAAUUUCCGCAAAAGAAAUCAUGAGAUACUCCUUCAAAUCACGUUAUAAACUCGGGGCAGAACAUCACCAACGCAACACAUAUGACUCAAAGGUUGCAACAGAAGAGGGUCUCGCAUUUGAAUGAACUUGAAGCAAAAUGUUAAAUCCUUAGACAGUUAACAAGAGAGUUGUUUCAAAACUUAGAUGGACAAGAUUUCGAUUCAACAAUCUGAACAUCAGAACCUCAAACACUAGAGCUUUACUAAGUUGAUAACAGUAAAAUGAUGAAGAUAGCUUCAAACACUAGAUCACUUUAAGCACACAAGACGAACUCUAGCAUGCUCGAGCUAAUCGACUAAUGAACAAACAACAAAAACUCCGACAUCCUUCUCAUGAGAGCUUAUUCAAACAGAAAUCAACACUAUCACGUUCAAUAUCAAAGCAAAACCAUGUCUCAAAUUUCCAGUCAGAACAUGCUUAUGCUAACAGAAUAAACAGACAUAACAGGAUAGCUUUGCAAAUCAAGCAUGCCAGUUGACUUAAAACAAUAGUAGUGUGACAUCUUCAAGAAUCCAUACCAUGUACUCAAACACAUACCAUUACUGAGAACAGACUCAGUCCACAAAAAAAUCGAUCAUAACACAAACAAAUCACCCUGGACUGAAUCUCAUAGCUAAAAAAAAAUACUGAAACGAAACAGAAUUGCAAGCACAACAGAGUUGAAUAUUGAACCUGAAGCUGCUAAUUCCUUUAAUAACAAAUGUAGACUCAACAAUACACUUCUCGACUCCAAAUCCUAGCGAGGUCUAGCAACAAAUCAGCGAGACGACAGUAGAACCCAGUUUGAACUUCAAUUUUAUCUUCUUGGAACUCAAAUUUGUAUUCAGAAAAAAAUCAGAAGAAGAAAUUGUAUCUAUUCUUCUCUUAAACUUCAAUGGCCUCGUCUAAGCAAAUCAACUCCGAAAACACCAUUUGUUCACAGAAAACUCUUCAAACCUUUUUUCCUUUUUACCCUGAUUUUUGUUCCCCCUUAUACCCAACCUAGAAGCUUCCUCAAAAAUCCGCAAAUAUUCCCCCCUAUAACGAAUUCGGACAGAUGGAGAGAGGGGAUCGAUUCAAAAAUAAAUCCACGGUUCCCAUUUCUCCCAAUUCAUUCUCAAAGGCACAUGGGAGAUGAAAACUUGUUGGAGACCGUUAGAAUACUCAGUGAUGUGGAGAGAUCGAGAGUGUGUGUGGUGAAUUCAAGCUCACUCGCCUGAAAUUUGGCAAGUUGACGCGGCUCUGAAGGGGAGAAGAGAGUGAAUAGUCACAGCUGAGUUAGGGAUUUGAUUUUCGUAUGUAUUCG
rnacentral:lncRNA from 1 species